rnacentral:rRNA from 1 species
UACGAAGGGGGCUAGCGUUGCUCGGAAUUACUGGGCGUAAAGGGAGCGUAGGCGGAUAGUUUAGUCAGAGGUGAAAGCCCAGGGCUCAACCUUGGAAUUGCCUUUGAUACUGGCUAUCUUGAGUGUGGGAGAGGUAUGUGGAACUCCGAGUGUAGAGGUGAAAUUCGUAGAUAUUCGGAAGAACACCAGUGGCGAAGGCGACAUACUGGCCCAUUACUGACGCUGAGGCUCGAGAGCGUGGGGAGCAAACAGG